rnacentral:rRNA from 1 species
GACGAACGCUGGCGGCGUGCCUAAUACAUGCAAGUAGAACGCACAGUUUAUACCGUAGCUUACUACACCAUAGACUGUGAGUUGCGAACGGGUGAGUAACGCGUAGGUAACCUGCCUGGUAGCGGGGGAUAACUAUUGGAAACGAUAGCUAAUACCGCAUAAUAUUAAUUAUUGCAUGAUAAUUAAUUGAAAGGUGCAAUUGCACCACUACCAGAUGGACCUGCGCUGUAUUAGCUAGUAGGUGAGGUAACGGCUCACCUAGGCGACGAUACAUAGCCGACCUGAGAGGGUGAUCGGCCACACUGGGACUGAGACACGGCCCAGACUCCUACGGGAGGCAGCAGUAGGGAAUCUUCGGCAAUGGACGAAAGUCUGACCGAGCAACGCCGCGUGAGUGAAGAAGGUUUUCGGAUCGUAAAGCUCUGUUGUAAGAGAAGAACGGGUGUGAGAGUGGAAAGUUCACACUGUGACGGUAUCUUACCAGAAAGGGACGGCUAACUACGUG